GCCCCCGUUGUGUAGCGGCCUAGCACGGCGCCCUCUCACGGCGUUAGCGCCGGUUCGAAUCCGGUCGGGGGUA
rfam:Nocardioides sp. Soil805 contig_1, whole genome shotgun sequence.